rnacentral:rRNA from 1 species
UCGACUGUUUAUCAAAAACAUAGCCAUAAGUAAAUAUUUAUGGUAGUAUCUGCCCAGUGAAAAUUUUUAAACGGCCGCAGUACCUUGACUGUGCAAAGGUAGCAUAAUCACUUGACUUUUAAAUGGAGCCUAGUAUGAAAGAGAGAACGUAGACAAUUUGUCUUAAUAAUAGUAUUUUGAAAUUGCUGUAGGAGUGAAAAUACUCCUAAAAUUUAAAAAUAGACGAGAAGACCCUUAGAAUUUUAAACAUAUUGCAGAAGCACUACUGUAAUUAUUUUUUGUUGGGGCAACAAUAUUUCAAAACGAAUAAAUAUACAAAAAAGUCAAAAUAGGUCGAUUAUAUAAUUAUAGUAAAAUUACCUAAGGGAUAACAGCAUAAUUUAAUAAUUAAGYUUGUGAC